rnacentral:miRNA from 1 species
UCUAGGUGCGUCCUACAAAAUC